CUACCGUGUUGUUAAUGUUCUGUUGGGAGCUGCCCAGAGUGGCUUGGGAAACCCAGCCAGAUGGGCGGGGUAUAAAAUAAUAAUAAUAAUAAUAAUAAUAAUAAUAAUAAUAACAAUAAUAAUAAUUUAUUACUUGUACCCCGCCCAUCUGCCUCGGUUUCCCCAGCCACUCUGGGCGGCUUCCAACAAAGAUUAAAAAUACAUUA